AUGUGUAUUCAUAUAACAUGCAUCUACAUUCAACACUAGAUCCUAUUAGAACAUUAUGUUUAAGAACACUUAGAUUAGAGUAGUACUAGAAUGGGUGACAUUUUGGGAAGUCCUAGCAUUGCACCUU
rfam:Picea glauca, whole genome shotgun sequence.